ACAAUAUUCGGACCGUCGGUCUACCGAGCAAUUUCACCGGCUCGGUGGAAGAUUUUGCCUUCGUCGU
rnacentral:pre_miRNA from 1 species